rnacentral:rRNA from 1 species
CCAAUAGCGUAUAUUAAAGUUGUUGCAGUUAAAAAGCUCGUAGUUGAAUUUCGGGAUCAGUAGGUCGGUCAUGCCUCCGGUAUGUACUGGUCUCACUGGUUCCUCCUUCCUGAUGAACCGUAAUGCCAUUAAUUUGGUGUUGCGGGGAAACUGGACUGUUACUUUGAAAAAAUUAGAGUGUUUAAAGCAGGCUAACGCUUGAAUACAUUAGCAUGGAAUAAUGAAAUAGGACGUUCGAUCCUAUUUUGUUGGUUUCUAGGAUUGACGUAAUGAUUAAUAGGGAUAGUUGGGGGCAUUAGUAUUCAAUUGUCAGAGGUGAAAUUCUUGGAUUUAUUGAAGACUAACUACUGCGAAAGCAUUUGCCAAGGAUGUUUUCAUUAAUCAAGAACGAAAGUUAGGGGAUCGAAGACGAUCAGAUACCGUCGUAGUCUUAACCAUAAACUAUGCCGACUAGGGAUCGGAUGAUGUUAAUUUUUUAAUGACUCAUUCGGCGCCUUACG